rnacentral:rRNA from 1 species
UGGGGAAUCUUGCACAAUGGGCGAAAGCCUGAUGCAGCAAUGCCGCGUGAGGGAAGACGGCCUUCGGGUUGUAAACCUCUUUCAGUUGGGAUGAAGGUUCGGCGUUGAAUAGACGUCCGGACUGACCGUACCUUCAGAAGAAGCCCCGGCUAACUACGUGCCAGCAGCCGCGGUAAUACGUAGGGGGCAAGCGUUGUCCGGAAUCAUUGGGCGUAAAGCGCGUGUAGGCGGUUCCAUAAGUCUGCUGUGAAAGUCGGAGGCUCAACCUCCGAAAGCCGGUGGAUACUGUGGAACUAGAAUGCGGAAGAGGCAAGUGGAAUUCCUGGUGUAGCGGUGAAAUGCGCAGAUAUCAGGAGGAACACCAACGGCGAAGGCAGCUUGCUGGGACGUUAUUGACGCUGAGACGCGAAAGCGUGGGGAGCAAACAG